rnacentral:rRNA from 1 species
ACCGAAGUCAAGCAUCAUUGGGCGCGGUCAGUACUUGGGUGGGUGACCACCUGAGAACACCGCGUGCCGUU